UACGUAGGAUGCAAGCGUUGUCCGGAAUUAUUGGGCGUAAAGAGCGAGCAGGCGGUUUGGAAAGUUGGACGUGAAAUUUUAGGGCUUAACCCUAAAGGGUCGUCCAAAACUCCCAGACUAGAGUGCAGGAGAGGAAAGCGGAAUUCCCGGUGUAGUGGUGAAAUGCGUAGAUAUCAGGAGGAACACCGGUGGCGAAGGCGGUUCUCUGGGCAUUACCUGACGCUGAGGAGCGAAAGUGUGGGGAGCGAACAGG
rnacentral:rRNA from 1 species